AAAUGAAUAGACGGGAGCCCGCACAAGCAGUGGAGUAUGUGGUUUAAUUCGAAGCAACGCGAAGAACCUUACCAGGGCUUGACAUCCACAGGAGGCCGAGUAAAAUUGGCUGUGCCCUUCGGGGAACUGUGAGACAGGUGGUGCAUGGUUGUCGUCAGCUCGUGUCGUGAGAUGUUGGGUUAAGUCCCGCAACGAGCGCAACCCUUACAGUUAGUUGCUACGGAAGAGCACUCUAACAGGACUGCCGUUGACAAAACGGAGGAAGGUGGGGACGACGUCAAAUCAUCAUGCCCCUUACGCUCUGGGCUACACACGUACUACAAUGGCGCAAACAGAGGGGAGCAAUACCGCGAGGUGGAGCAAAUCCCAAAAAUGCGUCUCAGUUCAGAUUGCAGGCUGCAAUUCGCCUGCAUGAAGAUGGAAUUGCUAGUAAUCGCGAAUCAGAAUGUCGCGGUGAAUACGUUCCCGGGCUUUGUACACACCGCCCGU
rnacentral:rRNA from 1 species